rnacentral:rRNA from 1 species
AUACGGAGGGUCCGAGCGUUAUCCGGAAUCAUUGGGUUUAAAGGGUCCGUAGGCGGGAAUCUAAGUCAGUGGUGAAAUCUUGCAGCUCAACUGUAAAAUUGCCAUUGAUACUGGAUUUCUUGAAUUAGUGUGAAGUGGUUAGAAUGUGUAGUGUAGCGGUGAAAUGCAUAGAUAUUACACAGAAUACCAAUUGCGAAGGCAGAUCACUAACACUAUAUUGACGCUGAGGGACGAAAGCGUGGGGAGCGAACAGGAUUAGAAACCCUUGUAGUCC